rnacentral:rRNA from 1 species
GUAGUCUCGCACAGAUGCAUAUCAAUAAGCGGAGGAAAAGAAACUAACAAGGAUUCCCCUAGUAACGGCGAGUGAAGCUGGGAAGAGCUCAAAUUUGAAAUCUUAAAGGGUUUCCCUUUACGAAUUGUAGUUUAAAGAAGUGUUUUCUGUUGAGGUUUUGGUAAAAGUUCUUUGGAAUAGGACAUCAUAGAGGGUGAGAAUCCCGUAUUUGACCUUUACUUUCAACUUUGUGAUACACUUUCAAAGAGUCGGAUUGUUUGGGAAUGCAGUCCAAAAUGGGUGGUAAAUUUCAUCUAAAGCUAAAUAUUGGCGAGAGACCGAUAGCGAACAAGUACCGUGAGGGAAAGAUGAAAAGAACUUUGAAAAGAGAGUUAAACAGUACGUGAAAUUGUCAAAAGGGAAGCGUUUGACACCAGUGUUGUUUUUCUGAAAAUCAAUUAAAGAACUGUUUAUGCUAAGCUGUUUAGACUUUAUCAGCUAUCUGUUUAGUUUUGAGCUUUUCUUUAAUGCACUUUUCAGUUAACAAGUCAACAUCAAUUUCUUUUGCUGUAAAAAAGCUUGAGGAGGGUGGCUUGAGAUUCGUCUUAAGUGUUUAUAGCCUCUUGCCUAUGCAGUCGGAGAGAUUGAGGUCUGCAGCGUAGAUCCUUCGGGGCUAAAUGCAUUUGUGCUAAGUUAUAGCAUUUUAUAGACAACUUGUUGACUAUGAUUUGUCUUGUAGCUUACUCGCUUAUGUUAUUUUACCUACGCUUAGGAUGUUGAAGACUCUACAGAGAUA